rnacentral:tRNA from 1 species
CUAGCCAAGCAUCUCACUUACACCGAGAAGACACCCAUGCAAAUUGGGUCGCCCUGAGCCAAACAGCUAG